UGAGGAAUAUUGCGCAAUGGGCGAAAGCCUGACGCAGCGACGCCGCGUGGGGGAUGAAGGUCUUCGGAUUGUAAACCCCUUUCGGGAGGGAAGAUGGGACAGGCAACUGUUCGGACGGUACCUCCAGAAGCAGCCACGGCUAACUUCGUGCCAGCAGCCGCGGUAAUACGAAGGUGGCAAGCGUUGUUCGGAUUUACUGGGCGUAAAAGGAGCGUAGGCGGUUUGGUAAGCCCUCUGGGAAAUCUCCCGGCUUAACCGGGAAAGGUCAGAGGGGACUACCUGACUAGAGGACGGGAGAGGAGCGCGGAAUUCCCGGUGUAGCGGUGAAAUGCGUAGAGAUCGGGAGGAAGGCCGGUGGCGAAGGCGGCGCUCUGGAACGUUCCUAACGCUGAGGCUCGAAAGCGUGGGGAGCAAACAGG
rnacentral:rRNA from 1 species